GCUGGCGACCAUAGCAAGAGUGAACCACCUGAUCCCUUCCCGAACUCAGAAGUGAAACCUCUUCGCGCUAAUGGGAGUGUGGGAUUACCCAUGUGAGAGUAAGUCAUCGCCAGCU
rnacentral:rRNA from 1 species